rnacentral:rRNA from 1 species
GGGCUUGACAUCCCACGAACCUGCCUGAAAGGGCGGGGUGCCCGCAGGGGAGCGUGGAGACAGGUGGUGCAUGGCUGUCGUCAGCUCGUGUCGUGAGAUGUUGGGUUAAGUCCCGCAACGAGCGCAACCCUCACCCCUGGUUGCCACCGGGUAAAGCCGAGCACUCGAGGGGAACUGCCAGCGUCAAGCUGGAGGAAGGCGGGGAUGACGUCAAGUCAUCAUGCCCCUUACGUCCUGGGCUACACACGUGCUACAAUGGCCGGUACAAAGGGACGCGAGACCGCGAGGUGGAGCCAAUCCCAAAAAACUGGUCUAAGUUCAGAUUGCAGUCUGCAACUCGACUGCAUGAAGGAGGAAUCGCUAGUAAUCGCGCAUCAGCACGGCGCGGUGAAUACGUUCCCGGGCCUUGUACACACCGCCCGUCACACCACGAAAGCUGUCUGUACUCGAAGUCGCUGAG